UUAAGUUAUUAAGGGCGCACGGUGGAUGCCUUGGCACUAGAAGCCGAUGAAGGACGUUACUAACGACGAUAUGCUUUGGGGAGCUGUAAGUAAGCUUUGAUCCAGAGAUUUCCGAAUGGGGAAACCCAGCAUGAGUUAUGUCAUGUUAUCGAUAUGUGAAUACAUAGCAUAUCAGAAGGCACACCCGGAGAACUGAAACAUCUUAGUACCCGGAGGAAGAGAAAGAAAAUUCGAUUCCCUUAGUAGCGGCGAGCGAAACGGGAAGAGCCCAAACCAACAAGCUUGCUUGUUGGGGUUGUAGGACACUCUAUACGGAGUUACAAAGGACGACAUUAGACGAAUCAUCUGGAAAGAUGAAUCAAAGAAGGUAAUAAUCCUGUAGUCGAAAAUGUUGUCUCUCUUGAGUGGAUCCUGAGUACGACGGAGCACGUGAAAUUCCGUUGGAAUCUGGGAGGACCAUCUCCUAAGGCUAAAUACUCUCUAGUGACCGAUAGUGAACCAGUACCGUGAGGGAAAGGUGAAAAGCACCCCGGAAGGGGAGUGAAAUAGAACCUGAAACCGUGUGCUUACAAGUAGUCAGAGCCCGUUAAUGGGUGAUGGCGUGCCUUUUGUAGAAUGAACCGGCGAGUUACGAUUUGAUGCAAGGUUAAGCAGUAAAUGUGGAGCCGUAGCGAAAGCGAGUCUGAAUAGGGCGUUUAGUAUUUGGUCGUAGACCCGAAACCAGGUGAUCUACCCUUGGUCAGGUUGAAGUUCAGGUAACACUGAAUGGAGGACCGAACCGACUUACGUUGAAAAGUGAGCGGAUGAACUGAGGGUAGCGGAGAAAUUCCAAUCGAACCUGGAGAUAGCUGGUUCUCUCCGAAAUAGCUUUAGGGCUAGCCUCAAGUGAUGAUUAUUGGAGGUAGAGCACUGUUUGGACGAGGGGCCCCUCUCGGGUUACCGAAUUCAGACAAACUCCGAAUGCCAAUUAAUUUAACUUGGGAGUCAGAACAUGGGUGAUAAGGUCCGUGUUCGAAAGGGAAACAGCCCAGACCACCAGCUAAGGUCCCAAAAUAUAUGUUAAGUGGAAAAGGAUGUGGCGUUGCCCAGACAACUAGGAUGUUGGCUUAGAAGCAGCCAUCAUUUAAAGAGUGCGUAAUAGCUCACUAGUCGAGUGACACUGCGCCGAAAAUGUACCGGGGCUAAACAUAUUACCGAAGCUGUGGAUUGUCCUUUGGACAAUGGUAGGAGAGCGUUCUAAGGGCGUUGAAGCAUGAUCGUAAGGACAUGUGGAGCGCUUAGAAGUGAGAAUGCCGGUGUGAGUAGCGAAAGACGGGUGAGAAUCCCGUCCACCGAUUGACUAAGGUUUCCAGAGGAAGGCUCGUCCGCUCUGGGUUAGUCGGGUCCUAAGCUGAGGCCGACAGGCGUAGGCGAUGGAUAACAGGUUGAUAUUCCUGUACCACCUAUAAUCGUUUUAAUCGAUGGGGGGACGCAGUAGGAUAGGCGAAGCGUGCGAUUGGAUUGCACGUCUAAGCAGUAAGGCUGAGUAUUAGGCAAAUCCGGUACUCAUUAAGGCUGAGCUGUGAUGGGGAGAAGACAUUGUGUCUUCGAGUCGUUGAUUUCACACUGCCGAGAAAAGCCUCUAGAUAGAAAAUAGGUGCCCGUACCGCAAACCGACACAGGUAGUCAAGAUGAGAAUUCUAAGGUGAGCGAGCGAACUCUCGUUAAGGAACUCGGCAAAAUGACCCCGUAACUUCGGGAGAAGGGGUGCUCUUUAGGGUUAACGCCCAGAAGAGCCGCAGUGAAUAGGCCCAAGCGACUGUUUAUCAAAAACACAGGUCUCUGCUAAACCGUAAGGUGAUGUAUAGGGGCUGACGCCUGCCCGGUGCUGGAAGGUUAAGAGGAGUGGUUAGCUUCUGCGAAGCUACGAAUCGAAGCCCCAGUAAACGGCGGCCGUAACUAUAACGGUCCUAAGGUAGCGAAAUUCCUUGUCGGGUAAGUUCCGACCCGCACGAAAGGCGUAACGAUUUGGGCACUGUCUCAACGAGAGACUCGGUGAAAUCAUAGUACCUGUGAAGAUGCAGGUUACCCGCGACAGGACGGAAAGACCCCGUGGAGCUUUACUGUAGCCUGAUAUUGAAAUUCGGCACAGCUUGUACAGGAUAGGUAGGAGCCUUUGAAACGUGAGCGCUAGCUUACGUGGAGGCGCUGGUGGGAUACUACCCUAGCUGUGUUGGCUUUCUAACCCGCACCACUUAUCGUGGUGGGAGACAGUGUCAGGCGGGCAGUUUGACUGGGGCGGUCGCCUCCUAAAAGGUAACGGAGGCGCUCAAAGGUUCCCUCAGAAUGGUUGGAAAUCAUUCAUAGAGUGUAAAGGCAUAAGGGAGCUUGACUGCGAGACCUCCAAGUCGAGCAGGGUCGAAAGACGGACUUAGUGAUCCGGUGGUUCCGCAUGGAAGGGCCAUCGCUCAACGGAUAAAAGCUACCCCGGGGAUAACA
rnacentral:rRNA from 1 species